UGCAAGUCGAACGGUAGCAGGACUAGCUUGCUAGUUGCUGACGAGUGGCGGACGGGUGAGUAACGCGUGGGAAUCUGCCCAGUAGCGGGGGAUAGCCCGGAGAAAUCCGGAUUAAUACCGCAUACGCCCUACGGGGGAAAGGCUUCGGCCACUAUUGGAUGAGCCCGCGUUAGAUUAGCUUGUUGGUGAGGUAAAGGCUCACCAAGGCGACGAUCUAUAGCUGGUCUGAGAGGAUGAUCAGCCACAUCGGGACUGAGACACGGCCCGGACUCCUACGGGAGGCAGCAGUCGGGAAUAUUGGACAAUGGGCGAAAGCCUGAUCCAGCAAUACCGCGUGUGUGAAGAAGGCCUGCGGGUUGUAAAGCACUUUCGCUAGGGAAGAUAAUGACGGUACCUAGAUAAGAAGCACCGGCUAACUCCGUGCCAGCAGCCGCGGUAAUACGGAGGGUGCAAGCGUUAAUCGGAAUUACUGGGCGUAAAGCGCGCGUAGGCGGCUUGUUAAGUCAGAUGUGAAAUCCCCGGGCUCAACCUGGGAACUGCAUCUGAUACUGGCAGGCUAGAGUUUGUGAGAGGGAAGUGGAAUUUCCGGUGUAGCGGUGAAAUGCAUAGAGAUCGGAAGGAACAUCAGUGGCGAAGGCGACUUCCUGGCACAAAACUGACGCUGAGGUGCGAAAGCGUGGGUAGCAAACAGGAUUAGAUACCCUGGUAGUCCACGCCGUAAACGAUGUCAACUAGCCGUUGGGAACAUUUAAGUUUUCAGUGGUGCAGCUAACGCAUUAAGUUGACCGCCUGGGGAGUAC
rnacentral:rRNA from 1 species